rnacentral:rRNA from 1 species
CACGUAGGGUGCGAGCGUUGUCCGGAAUUAUUGGGCGUAAAGAGCUCGUAGGCGGUGUGUCGCGUCGGCCGUGAAAACCUGCAGCUUAACUGUGGGCUUGCGGUCGAUACGGGCAUCACUGGAGUUCGGCAGGGGAGACUGGAAUUCCUGGUGUAGCGGUGAAAUGCGUAGAUAUCGGAAGGAACACCAGUAGCGAAGGCGGCACUCUGGGCCGUGACUGACGCUGAGGAGCGAAAGCGUGGGUAGCAAACAGG